UACGUAGGGUGAAAGCGUUGUCCGGAAUCAUUGGGCGUAAAGCGCGCGUAGGUGGCUUCGUAAGUCCGUUGUGAAAGUCAAAGGCUCAACCUUUGAAUGCCGAUGGAUACUGCGAAGCUAGAGUACGGAAGAGGCGAGUGGAAUUCCUGGUGUAGCGGUGGAAUGCGCAGAUAUCAGGAGGAACACCAAUAGCGAAGGCAGCUCGCUGGGACGUUACUGACACUAAGGCGCGAAAGCGUGGGGAGCGAACAGG
rnacentral:rRNA from 1 species